rnacentral:rRNA from 1 species
GACGAACGCUGGCGGCGUGCUUAACACAUGCAAGUCGAACGGAAAGGCCCUGCUUUUGUGGGGUGCUCGAGUGGCGAACGGGUGAGUAACACGUGAGUAACCUGCCCUUGACUUUGGGAUAACUUCAGGAAACUGGGGCUAAUACCGGAUAGGAGCUCCUGCUGCAUGGUGGGGGUUGGAAAGUUUCGGCGGUUGGGGAUGGACUCGCGGCUUAUCAGCUUGUUGGUGGGGUAGUGGCUUACCAAGGCUUUGACAGGUAGCCGGCCUGAGAGGGUGACCGGCCACAUUGGGACUGAGAUACGGCCCAGACUCCUACGGGAGGCAGCAGUGGGGAAUAUUGCACAAUGGGCGGAAGCCUGAUGCAGCAACGCCGCGUGCGGGAUGACGGCCUUCGGGUUGUAAACCGCUUUCGCCUGUGACGAAGCGUGAGUGACGGUAAUGGGUAAAGAAGCACCGGCUAACUACGCG